AUACGUAGGGAGCGAGCGUUGUCCGGAAUUACUGGGUGUAAAGGGAGUGUAGGCGGGAUGGUAAGUUAGGUGUGAAAUCUAUGGGCUCAACCCAUAAAUUGCACUUAAAACUGCUGUUCUUGAGUGAAGUAGAGGUUAGCGGAAUUCCUAGUGUAGCGGUGAAAUGCGUAGAUAUUAAGAGGAACAUCAGUGGCGAAGGCGGCUAACUGGGCUUUUACUGACGCUGAGGCUCGAAAGCGUGGGGAGC
rnacentral:rRNA from 1 species